rnacentral:rRNA from 1 species
GAUGAACGCUGGCGGCGUGCUUAACACAUGCAAGUCGAACGGAAAGGCCCAAGCUUGCUUGGGUACUCGAGUGGCGAACGGGUGAGUAACACGUGGGUGAUCUGCCCUGCACUUCGGGAUAAGCCUUGGAAACUGGGUCUAAUACCGGAUAGGACCACAUUUUGGAUGGUGUGGUGGAAAGUUUUUCGGUGUGGGAUGAGCUCGCGGCCUAUCAGCCUGUUGGUGGGGUAAUGGCCUACCAAGGCGUCGACGGGUAGCCGGCCUGAGAGGGUGUACGGCCACAUUGGGACUGAGAUACGGCCCAGACUCCUACGGGAGGCAGCAGUGGGGAAUAUUGCACAAUGGGCGCAAGCCUGAUGCAGCGACGCCGCGUGGGGGAUGACGGCCUUCGGGUUGUAAACUCCUUUCGCUAGGGACGAAGCGUUAUGUGACGGUACCUGGAGAAGAAGCACCGGCUAACUACGUG